rnacentral:rRNA from 1 species
CAUAGCGACUAUCGUGGCAUAUCAAUAAGCGGAGGAAAAGAAACUAACAAGGAUUCCCUUAGUAACGGCGAGUGAAGCGGGAAGAGCUCAAAUUUGAAAUCUUCAAGGUUUUACCUUGACGAAUUGUAGUUUAAAGAAGUGUUUUCUGUUGGAAGUUUUGGUAAAAGUUCUUUGGAAUAGGACAUCAUAGAGGGUGAGAAUCCCGUAUUUGACCAUUAUUUUCCAGCUGUGUGAUACACUUUCAAAGAGUCGGAUUGUUUGGGAAUGCAGUCCAAAAUGGGUGGUAAAUUUCAUCUAAAGCUAAAUAUUGGCGAGAGACCGAUAGCGAACAAGUACCGUGAGGGAAAGAUGAAAAGAACUUUGAAAAGAGAGUUAAACAGUACGUGAAAUUGUCAAAAGGGAAGCGUUUGACACCAGUGUUGUUUUCUCGAAAAUCAAUUAAAAAUGGCCGGAUUUUGUGUUGUAUUGACUUUAUCAGCUUUCUGCACUUUUUUCUUGUCUUUUUUAAUGCACUUUUCGUUUAACAAGUCAACAUCAAUUUCUUUUGCUGUAAAAGAGUCAUUGGAAGGUGGCUUUCAUUUCGGUGAAAGUGUUUAUAGCCUUUGACUACUGCUAUCGGAGAGAUUGAGGUCUGCAGCGUAGAUCCUUCGGGGUUAGAUACAUUUGUGCUAAAUUAUAGUUUUUCAUAGACAACAUGUUGACUAUGAUUAAUCAUGUAGCUUACUCGCUUAUGCUAUUUUACCUACGCUUAGGAUGUUGAUAGUCACAGCGUGUAC